CAGGCCUAACACAUGCAAGUCGAACGAAGCCUUCGGGCUUAGUGGCGGACGGGUUAGUAACGCGUGGGAAUGUACCCUUCACUACGGAAUAGUCCCGGGAAACUGGGUUUAAUACCGUAUACGCCCUUCGGGGGAAAGGAUUUCGGUGAAGGAUCAGCCCGCGUUAGAUUAGGUAGUUGGUGGGGUAAUGGCCUACCAAGCCUACGAUCUAUAGCUGGUUUGAGAGGAUGAUCAGCAACACUGGGACUGAGACACGGCCCAGACUCCUACGGGAGGCAGCAGUGGGGAAUCUUAGACAAUGGGGGAAACCCUGAUCUAGCCAUGCCGCGUGAGUGACGAAGGUCUUAGGAUCGUAAAGCUCUUUCAACUGUGAAGAUAAUGACGGUAGCAGUAGAAGAAACCCCGGCUAACUCCGUGCCAGCAGCCGCGGUAAUACGGAGGGGGUUAGCGUUGUUCGGAAUUACUGGGCGUAAAGCGCACGUAGGCGGAUUGGAAAGUUGGGGGUGAAAUCCCGGGGCUCAACCUCGGAACUGCCUCCAAAACUAUCAGUCUAGAGUUCGAGAGAGGUGAGUGGAAUUCCGAGUGUAGAGGUGAAAUUCGUAGAUAUUCGGAAGAACACCAGUGGCGAAGGCGGCUCACUGGCUCGAUACUGACGCUGAGGUGCGAAAGUGUGGGUAGCAAACAGGAUUAGAUACCCUGGUAGUCCACACCGUAAACGAUGAAUGCCAGUCGUCAGGGGGCUUGCCCC
rnacentral:rRNA from 1 species